AACAAGCUUGGAAUUUUCCCAGGCAAUAGGCUGGUGGACAAAGGAUGGAGAAGAUUCAUAAAGCCCUCUUUCCUUUGUCCCCGUCUUGCCUGUGGUCACUGGGGGCUGAGGAUGUGUUAUCAGCACAGCAGGACGCUGCGGGGGCCACGUAGGCAGUGCUGCUGCUGCCGAUAUACACAAGUGGCUGGAUAUUUGUUCAACUAGGAAAAUAAAAAGCUCAAGAAAAUUACUCUGAGCACUAAAAAUCGAUGGUGGGAUAAUGUAAUAACAGUCCCUUACUGUUGUUCAAUGCAGCACGGUUUACAACGUAUUUUCCUGGCCCUUAUGAGAAGCCGAGGGUACAAUCAAAAGAUGAGAAGACCAGGACUUCAUAGGUAAAGUACUCCACAAGGUCACACAGCAGAAGAAGGUGGGGCAGAACGUGACCUUGAGCUUUGAUACCAAGCUCUGGAUCAAGAAGGCUCUCAACUCCGGUACCUCUCCUCCAACUUCAGCACCUUGGUGCAAGCAUGCUUGGGAUCAGCAUGAGGAUGAGUCUGGACAAUGGCUCGGUGUCAGGGAGAGAGACUGACCCAGGAGUCAGGACACCUGGUCUUAAGUCUCUACUUUGCCCCUAACUUCAUGGCGUCCCUACAGUUGCCUUCUUCUCUCUGGGCCUCAGUCUCCACACCUGUAAGAUGAGGGUGCUGAACUGUACACGAAGACCAAGAUCCCUUCCAGCUCUGACCCUCGGGAGAUACUAAGGAUCUUGGAUGACAGAAAGAAGGGACAGCAGAUGCCCAGGGUGUGUGACCUCUGUCUAUCCCUCCUUCCCUUCACUUGGGCUCGGGGUGGGGAGGAGGACCCCCUCCGCCCCACUGCUCCAGAGUGACCAGGACCCACUUAUCCCCUGCAGAUUCCCCAGCCUGGUCCAGGUUGAGCUCC